GGAAGCAGGGGAUCGUAAGGCCUUGCGCUUUUGGAGCGGCCGAUGUCUGAUUAGCUAGUUGGUGGGGUAAGGGCCUACCAAGGCGACGAUCAGUAGUUGGUCUGAGAGGACGACCAGCCACACUGGGACUGAGACACGGCCCAGACUCCUACGGGAGGCAGCAGUGGGGAAUUUUGGACAAUGGGCGCAAGCCUGAUCCAGCAAUGCCGCGUGAGUGAAGAAGGCCUUCGGGUUGUAAAGCUCUUUCAGUCGAGAAGAAAAGGCUACGGUAAAUAAUCGUAGUUCAUGACGGUACCGACAGAAGAAGCACCGGCUAACUACGUGCCAGCAGCCGCGGUAAUACGUAGGGUGCGAGCGUUAAUCGGAAUUACUGGGCGUAAAGGGUGCGCAGGCGGCUUUGUAAGUCAGAUGUGAAAUCCCCGGGCUUAACCUGGGAAUUGCGUUUGAAACUACAAAGCUAGA
rnacentral:rRNA from 1 species